GAGGGGCAGCGGGGUAGUGCUUGCACUACUGCCGGCGACCGGCGCACGGGUGAGUAACACGUAUGGAACCUGCCCGCAGCAGGGGGAUAAGCGGAAGAAAUUCCGUCUAAUACCGCGUAAGAACGUUGGGAGGCAUCUCCCGAUGUUUAAAGAUUUAUCGGCUGCGGAUGGCCAUGCGGCGCAUUAGCUAGUCGGCGGGGUAACGGCCCACCGAGGCGACGAUGCGUAGGGGUUCUGAGAGGAAGGUCCCCCACACUGGUACUGAGACACGGACCAGACUCCUACGGGAGGCAGCAGUGAGGAAUAUUGGUCAAUGGCCGAGAGGCUGAACCAGCCAAGUCGCGUGAGGGAAGACGGCCCUACGGGUUGUAAACCUCUUUUGUCGGGGAGCAAAGCGAACCACGUGUGGUUCAUUGAGAGUACCCGAAGAAAAAGCAUCGGCUAACUCCGUGCCAGCAGCCGCGGUAAUACGGAGGAUGCGAGCGUUAUCCGGAUUUAUUGGGUUUAAAGGGUGCGCAGGCGGAGGUGCAAGUCAGCGGUCAAAUUGCGGGGCUCAACCCCGUACUGCCGUUGAAACUGCAUCCCUUGAGUGCGCGAGAAGUAUGCGGAAUGCGUGGUGUAGCGGUGAAAAUGCAUAGAUAUCACGCAGAACUCCGAUUGCGAAGGCAGCAUACCGGCGCGCAACUGACGCUCAUGCACGAAAGCGUGGGUAUCGAACAGGAUUAGAUACCCUGGUAGUCCACGCAGUAAACGAUGAACACUAACUGUUCGGCCAGAAUGAUGGCUGAGUGGUACAGCGAAAGCGUUAAGUGUUCCACCUGGGGAGUACGCCGGCAACGGUGAAACUCAAAGGAAUUGACGGGGGCCCGCACAAGCGGAGGAACAUGUGGUUUAAUUCGAUGAUACGCGAGGAACCUUACCCGGGCUCAAACGACACAGGAAUACUUUUGAAAGGAGGUAGCCCUACGGGGUCUGUGUCGAGGUGCUGCAUGGUUGUCGUCAGCUCGUGCCGUGAGGUGUCGGCUUAAGUGCCAUAACGAGCGCAACCCCUAUCGCCAGUUACCAUCAAGUAAAGUUGGGGACUCUGGCGAGACUGCCGGCGCAAGCUGAGAGGAAGGCGGGGAUGACGUCAAAUCAGCACGGCCCUUACGUCCGGGGCGACACACGUGUUACAAUGGCAGGUACAGAGAGAAGCCAGGUGGUGACACCGAGCGGAACUCGAAAGCCUGUCUCAGUUCGGAUCGGAGUCUGCAACCCGACUCCGUGAAGCUGGAUUCGCUAGUAAUCGCGCAUCAGC
rnacentral:rRNA from 1 species